ACAGAUUUGUCAGUGAAGAACUGUACAGCUGAGAUUAACCCUGAAAGUUCAAAAAAAGCAAAUGCCAACCCUACCACAGCAUCUACAGAUGUCACAACACACCAACACAAUACUGGAGCGGAAGACAAUGAAACUUCAACAUUUGAAACUUCAGGAGAUACAUCGGUGUCUACUCCAGGACACUGGACACAGACCAGUGGCGAACUGAGCACAGCGGACCACAAUGAGACCAACCAGACGCAUGAUCCAGACCAUACAGAGGAGUCCACAAGCUUACUACCUAAUGCAGACACCACAGGGACGGCAGUGGGCGAGAGAACGUCCAGGCAUGAAACAACAACAGCUUAUAAAACAGGACAUGUCAGCCCAAAUGACCGUUCUUCAGAGUCAGAUGUGACCAGAUCAUCAGGUUAGAAAGCUCUUUAUAAUAUA